rnacentral:rRNA from 1 species
GAUGAACGCUGGCGGCGUGCCUAAUACAUGCAAGUCGAGCGAACGGACGAGAAGCUUGCUUCUCUGAUGUUAGCGGCGGACGGGUGAGUAACACGUGGAUAACCUACCUAUAAGACUGGGAUAACUUCGGGAAACCGGAGCUAAUACCGGAUGAUAUUUUGACCCGCAUGUUUCAAAAUUGAAAGACGGUCUUGCUUUCCCUUAUAAAUGGAUCCGCGCUGCAUUAGCUAGUUGGUAAGGUAACGGCUUACCAAGGCAACGAUGCAUAGCCGACCUGAGAGGGUGAUCGGCCACACUGGAACUGAGACACGGUCCAGACUCCUACGGGAGGCAGCAGUAGGGAAUCUUCCGCAAUGGGCGAAAGCCUGACGGAGCAACGCCGCGUGAGUGAUGAAGGUCUUCGGAUCGUAAAACUCUGUUAUUAGGGAAGAACAUAUGUGUAAGUAACUGUGCACAUCUUGACGGUACCUAAUCAGAAAGCCACGGCUAACUACGUG